CUUGUUGACGUCAGAGCUGCGUCUGUGCUCGCUCUGGAGAGCAGGACAUCCUGUGGAAUUGUUCUCAGCUAGGCCUGAAGAAUGUAAAGCAGCAACCUCUCCCAUCUAGCUCCACUCUGUGAAACGUAGGAGGGAUGUGUGCCGACACAGAAACGAUUAAGGGGAGAGACAGGCCCAGGGAGGAGAAGAUCUCCAUCAUUAAGUGCAGCCCCAGGCUCUGCUGCAAACCAUCAGAGGAGGGACAGGAAUACUAAACAGCCAAGGGUGACAAAGACUGCAGAAUGAAAAGGAUGGAGGCUGCGUGUGAAGGUGUCCUCACAUUGGCUGGACAGGGAAACUACACAGCAUCCAACAAUGUGCAUGAGAUUACCUUGUCAGGGUGUUUCCCUGGAUUUAGCAUAGUGCAAGCUCAGAGCUAUCAUUACCCAUAUAAGGAGAAAAAGGGAGAUUAUUGAAAAUUAACCAAGCCUCCUUCAAGCUUGAGAAUUUAAAUUUCACCGUGAACUGACUUUACUUGAAAAGUUGAGCCAUUAUUUUUUCUUUCUUGCUUUUUAUUUUCAUCAUUUUUGAUAAAGUGUAAUUGCUAGACAUGGCCUGUUACAACACACUUGGGCACCUAAAAAUCUCAUUGUUUAUGUAUCUCAACAAGACAAAAAAAUGUAGAAAAAAAACAGAUUCAUUUAAAUUUUUGUAACAUUCUGACAUUUAAAAUGUCCCAGAAAUGUGCAGGAAUGAAUGUAAAAUGUGUUUGAGGAAUAGACAACCACAUAAAAUCUGUUCAAACUGU